rnacentral:lncRNA from 1 species
CCGCCCCGUCGCCGACCCCGUCACUGACCCCGUCGCUGGCCCCGUCGCCCGCCAGCCCACCUGCUCCUUACUUCCCCGUGUCCUGUUUUCCCGACAAGGGGAAUCACCGAAGGCCGAGGACCCUGGGCGCCAGCCCGGAACCCGGCGCUCCCUGGGUGCUAUGGUAACUGACGCAUUGUGAGGCCACGGCUUCGAGAAAGCCCUUUCUGCCUCAAUUUAUACAACUGGACACUUGCUUGGAAGAGAUGUCGAGAGGAAAGGUUGUUUUUGGUCAAAGGCAUGAAAACUAGUUUUUAGGAAGGUUUUUGUUGGAUUCCGCUGUCUUCUUGCCUCUUCCCCAUUUGAACCCUGGCGUCUGUUCCCCCUUCUUCGUCCUCCAUAUAAUACAGAUAAACGGGGCCGCGAGUGCUGACCACAACCGGAAAAACCGCCACACAAACUAGAAGUAGCUCGUGAUGGGCGCCACGGGCAGGAUGCUCGUGGGUGGGUGGAGGGGGCGCCGCUGGAGCGACCUUCCCUCGGGUGUCAAGGAAGCUGUGGGCAUCUUGUGGGAAGGAAAGAGAAGGAUUCUGUGGCGUGGAUGAAGGCAUCAUUUUGAAUGUGUGGCCAUCGACGGUGGGGCCAUUGGAUCCCUUACUACAUCAAGAGAUGUGGCUCAUCUGGUUUCAAGUUAAAGCAGCUUGGUGGGUAGGAGGACAGAGCUUGUCUUGGACUAGGCCAUACAGGCUUCAACUACACUGUCUCUCACGCUGUCACUCAAACCAGCGGCUGUCAAACAAGGUCACAGAUUCACCCAAUGGCUUUUAAUAAUUUGGCAUUACUUUCGUAUGAAUAAUUUAUAAUCUCCAAAGUACGAGACUAUUAUUUAUGGUUAGUAGCUGUGAGAUAAUGAGACACAUGGUUUUAGGGCUGUUUUUAUUACCAAGUGGUGUCCAUAUAGUUGUAAGGAGUUAAAAUAAAGAGAAGUGAAAGUGGAUCUUUUUUUUUUUU